rfam:Vittaforma corneae ATCC 50505 unplaced genomic scaffold supercont1.3, whole genome shotgun sequence.
UCCCUGAUGGUCCAGUGGUUAGGAUAUCUGCCUCUCACGCAGGUGGCCUGGGUUCGAUUCCCGGUCGGGGAA